rnacentral:lncRNA from 1 species
UGUUCAGCCCAUUCCUGUUCAACCCAACACCCCUGUAAUCAAAUUCCCACCACCUGAGGCUCUCAAAAGUAAGCACCAUACAUACACAGUACAUAAACAUAACUUUUCUUUUUCUUUUUCUUUUUUGUAAGCAAUUAUUAGUACAACUUAAUUAAUUCAUUUACCUCACAAUACGUAAUCCUUGUGUUUUUCCAGGAGACAAGUUCAAUUGGCUUAGUGACAGUGAAUUUGCAAGACAAACAAUUGCGGGUCUUAAUCCCUAUUGUAUACAGUUGGUCAAGGUGACUGAUAGACUGACAAUAAUCAAUAAAUAUAUAUCAAACUACCCUUACCCACUAGCUUUAAUUCAGACUACGUCAAAUAUUAGUGAUUUACUACAGAUAUUUCUAACCUGUUUCUAUAGUAUAUAUGAAAUUAUAGCUUAAUUGUUUUGUAUGAAUAAAUUCAGAGUUGGCCUUUGAAGAGUGAGCUGGACCCUGUGGAAUACGGUCCUCAAGAAUCAGCAUUCACCACGGAAUUGGUUCAAAAAUUAAUAGGAAGUUCCAUCACAGUUGAAGAGGCUAUAGCGCAAAAGAAAUUGUUCGUAUUGGAUUACCAUGAUACUUUGAUGCAAUAUGUAGAGAAAGUAAGAAGCAUUAAGCGGACCACACUCUAUGGAUCAAGAACCUUGUUCUUCCUGGAGUAUGAUGACACUUUGACUCCCAUGGGUAUUGAGCUAACUCGGCCACCAAUGGAUGGAAAGCCCCAAUGGAAACAAGUUUUCUCACCAAGCACUCAAGGAACAAAUGCUUGGCUAUGGAGGCUUGCUAAAGCCCAUGUUCUUGCUCAUGAUUCUUGUGUUCAUCAACUCAUUAUUCAUUGGUACGUACCUAUAUAUAUAUAUAUAUAUAUAUAUAUAUAUAUAUAUAUAUAUAUUUUGCUUAAAAGAAAAACAAUUUUUGAUAUCACCUUGUUUGUGGGUAGUAUAUAUUAAUUAAUUAUAUAUCUAUAUAUGCAGGCUUAGAACUCACUGUUGCAUGGAGCCAUAUGCAAUCGCCUUAAAUAGACAAUUGAGUACUAUGCACCCAAUUUAUAGAUUAUUGCAUCCUCAUUUCCGAUUCAAUAUGCGUAUCAACGCAAAUGCUCGUGAAUCUCUAAACAAUGCCGGAGGCAUCAUUGAAAGCACAUUCUCUGUCGGAGCUUAUUCCAUGGAAUUUAGUUCUUUGGUGUAUAAGAAGGAGUGGCAAUUUGACACACAAGCACUCCCUGAGGACUUAAUUCGCAGGUAAUUUUCAAGACGUACAACUUUUGAUUUGAAAUUAAUAAAAUUAAAUUUGAGCAGUCUUGGCUAGACCAAAUAUAAUUAUGCAUGCUAAUAAUUAUUAGUGAUAAAAUUUAAAAUUAUUAGGGGAAUGGCGGAAAGAGAUGCAAGUGCACCACAUGGUCUGAAGUUGGCCAUCAAAGACUACCCUUUCGCCAAUGAUGGUUUAAUCCUAUGGGAGGUCCUAGUGGAAUGGAUCUCAGAAUAUGUGAACCACUAUUACCCAGAUGAGAAAGCAAUAAAGAACGAUAAAGAGUUGAAAGCUUGGUGGAAAGAAAUCAUGGAAAAGGGACAUCCAGAUAAAAAGAAGGAAGCAGGAUGGCCCUCACUGAAAACCCCCAAAGACCUAAUUCAGAUUGUGUCAACAAUAGCAUGGGUAGGAUGUGGGCACCACUCCGCUGUCAACUUCAUUCAAUAUGCACAUGCUGGCUAUUUUCCUAACCGACCCAGUAUUACAAGGACAAACAUGCCCACAGAGGACUAUGACCAAAUUCCAGAAGCGUUUAUAAACAAUCCUGAAAGUGUGAUACUUGAGGCCUUCCCUUCAAUAGCUCAGGCUUCUGCAGUGGCACAAACUAUGUUGAUAUUGUCAGCACAUUCUCCAGAUGAGGAGUAUAUUGGGAAGAAGAUAGAGCCAGCAUGGGCUGAGGACCCCAUGAUAGCCAAAGCCUUUGACAAAUUUAAAAUGAAGUUGGAUGAACUAGAAAAGACAAUUGACCAAAGGAAUGAGAACAAUGAAUUAAAGAAUAGGCGCGGAGCUGGGCUUGUGCCUUAUGAGGUUCUUAAACCAACUUCAGGUUAUGGGGUCACAGGAAAGGGAGUUCCAUACAGUGUUUCCACUUGAACCACAUGAUCCUCUCUGUCUUCCAGUUUUUGCCUUUCAUUUGGAAUAAUAAGGCGCAAAUGCAAUUUGUUUUUCACUUCUUCGAUUUCCUUGUCUUUUACAGCCUUCUGCUUUUUUUUUUUUUCUUAUUGGGGAACAAUAAGAUAUGUAAUUUUCGUUUUGUACGUCAGUGUCAGUGUCUUUGCCUCGUGCACAUGGCUUUAUUAGAAUAAUUUAAAUACCAAGUAAUUUAUCUAUCCAUUACAUUAUUUCAUUUUUCUUCACACCAAAUUGAUCUUUAAAGUAAAAUAGAAGAUUUAGAAUAUAGAUUGGUAACUGAGUCUCUAAGAAUUUAUGUAGACGUUUUUAAAAAUACAAGUUGCAAAAUUUCUGGAUUUUAUCGAUGAUAGUCAGUGAUAGACUUCUAUCAUUGGCUAUCAAUACCACUGAUAGAAGAAUAUUACUAGUUAUCAAAUGUUUGUUAUUGAUAAAAUCUUAAAAUUAAUCAUAACCUUGUAAAUAUUUUGUCAAAUUUGCUAUUUUUAAUAAUUUCUCAUAUAUAUACGUAUAUGUAUAACAUAACAGAAUUGAUUCAAAUGUCUAUUAUCCCACCCAUUGUCAAACUCUAUUUCAAAAAUAAUAAAAGUUUAGAAGAGUUGUGUGAGAUUUUUUUUUUAUAAAAAAAGAUACAAUUACAUCAGUAGGUACAAUGGAACAUCUCCACUAGAUGGACCCCUAUAUCACCUUCAUUAUCCCUGCUUCAUCGAUAUGUAACAAGAAAGUACAAGGCGAAAAUAAAAAUGGCUAGAGAGAAGCCCAAACAACUCAACAAUACAAGUCUAGACAAAACAUUAAGAUUUAAAGCAAUGGUUUCAACCGAAUAACUUGAGACUGUGUGAGAUUUUCAACAAGGUUAUAGAAAAUUUCCACAACGAUACAUGGAAAUUCCUUCAAAAAAAAAAAAAGAAACGUUAUACUAAAUGCACUUUAAGAUGUGUGGAAGUAUUUUAGAGAGACAUUUAAUUUGUUUGAAAACUAUUUUGAUUUUUGUUUUUGUUUAUUAGAAUUAUUAAACCUAUAAAACUAUUUCUACCCACACAACUUUCUACCUUUGUUAUAUCUGUUGGAAUAAGUGGUUAUGAUCAUUCAUGAAUGAAUUCUUCAUGAAUGCAUACAUCAUUUCAUGAAAAGUGUUAUUAACCAAAGGAUAUGACUUUUCGAUUAGCCACGAAAAAUUUAUAAAUAAGUCUUUUUGGUUCAGAGAAAAAAGACAUCAAAAUCAUUUGUCUUCUAGAAACAAAUUUCUCUCCGUAUCCACAAUUUUGACGUUUGGUAAAUUCACAAGGUUUCGUUCGUAGAUCUUCUAUACGGGGUGCUACAUUUAGAAGAAAAUUGAUAUGUUCUAUCCUGAGAGGCAAUUACUUCAAAUACUCAAGCACUAAGGUGACUAAAUUUGUCUUAAGGAGACAACGUGAAUUCGUUGGACUCAGAUCUAUAUUUAAGUAUGAUUUUUUAUUCAUUGUGAUAAUAAUCUUCGUGACAUUUUGAUAAUCUGUAUAACAAUCUUAAGACAAUUUUUCUUUUACAAAUGUUUAUGCGUGAUUAAUUUCAAACGAAACAUAAUGUAUUUAGAUUUAUUCAUAAUGGAUUUUCUUCAUCGUUUUGUAGUCACGGUUGCUUUUACAUACUUUAUGUAUUUCUUCAAUUAACAAGAUUAAUUUCUGCAUUUGAAGUUCUAUUUUUUUUUAAAGAUUAUCAAGCAUCUUUAAAAUCAUAUUUGGAUAACAAUUUUUUUAUACAGGCUAUUUUAUGUUUAUAUGUAAUAAGAAUUAAAAAAAAAAAAAAAUCCUUCACAGCAGCAGUGUAUAAAGAUUACUUAUCCAUUUAUUGUUUUAAUCUUUACUUUGUUCGAUUUUUUUUUUUUCCUUUCACUGCCUUAGUUUAUUCCACACACAUAUAUAUUAGUUUGUUUUAUAUAUACAUAUUGUUUAAUUUUUGUUUAUUCAAGUAUCGCAGUAAGCCUAUUAACUUGAAUGUGUUAAAAAAAAGUUUUAUUCAAGUAUUACAGUAAGGAAAUUAACUUGAGUGUUUUUCAAUAUAUAUAUUUUUCUGGAUUAGUUUGUAUAUGAGAAUUCAUCUUUAAUUAUUUGUUUAAAAUUUAUUUGUUUUGAAAAUAUGACUUCAACAAACUUUAAUUCAGUUCCUGUAACUAGUGUUGUCCAUGGAGAGAAACCUGAAAAUUUUGGUGGUGUUGAUUUCAAAUGUUGGCAACAAAAAAUGUUGUUCUAUCUCACCACUUUAAAUUUGGCAAAAUUUCUCACAGAGGAUGCUCCUAUUUUACUUGAGGGAGAAACUGACAAAAUUGAUGCAUGGAAACAUGCAGAAUAUCUUUGCAAAAAUUAUAUUUUGAAUGAGUAGGACAACACACUGUACAAUGUAUAUUAGUAGUGUUGAUUCGGCUAAAAAUCUAUGGACUUCGUUAGAGAAGAAGUACAAAACUGAAGUUGCUGGUGCAAAGAAAUUUAUCGUUAGAAAAUUUUUGGAUUACAAAAUGGUGGACUCCAAAACUGUAAUCAGUCAGGUUCAGAAAAAUCCAGUUAAUUCUACCUGAUAUAUAAAUACUGAAAAUAUGACUUUGAGUGAGUCUUUUGAGUGAGUCCUUUCGAUUAUUCUCUUCAAUCCCAAGUCGGACCACAAGUUCCUCAAGAUUUAUCGUUUAUGCUUGAGAUGAUUUUUGAAGUCCUUCCAUGAGGGUGACAAUUUUGCAUGAAAAUCCCGUGCAUUUUUAAAGUGAUCCCAUUGUGCCGUGGAUCCAAAACACAAAGAUCUGUUUAGGUUAUUAUAGCCAAACGUGAAUGUAAGAGUGAGAUUUACAUUUCUUGAGAGAGGUUGAAUUAUUAUAACUUCGUAACAUUACUUUUGUAGGAUGUAAGAGUGAGAUUUACAUUUCCAACCACCCAACCCACUAUUUUUCUAGCAUUUUAGAGGGAACCCUAAAUGUGUAGGCUUUGUUCCAAGCGCCCAAUUCUGUUACUUCCACUUGUUGUUUUUCUAGUAUAUUUCAUUAUUUCUCUACAUUAUUAUAACUCAUGACAUUUGUUUUGAUAAUGUAUUCUCAUUCAUAUCUACUAAUUUUAUGAGUUAAUUUUUUUGUAAGGGAUUAUUCAAUCUAGUAGGAUACCGUAAGAAUAUAUAUAACAUGGCUUAGUUAAUGCAUGCAAUUGAUCAAAUUAGUUACUGCAUCUCGCUCUCACUUUCUAUUUUUUAUUUUGAACUAAUGACUUCAAUUAGAGUGUUAGUUGAUGUUUAAUGAUGGAGAAAGUAAAAAUAUAUAUAAAUCUCACUAAGGAACACAUAUAUAGAAAGUCACAUGAUCCAGAUACAAGAGGUACACGUAGAACCCACAAGUGAUUGCAUGAAACUAUGUGAGAUCUAAUUAAGCUAUAUGAACAAAGGAUUAUUAAUGUAAAACAGAAUGAAUUCCAACAUAAGAGCAUAAGUAUUACACUUUUUUUUUAACUACUCACCAUUUGUAACCACCUAUAAAUAUGUAUAGUUGCAUUCUAACAAAGUAGUCUAUAUACAUAUAUAUUUCUCAUCUCCAAGAAAAAUAAGACAGAAAAUGAGAGAUUUUUGUAUACUCAACUUCAUAAAUAAGAAAAGUUCCUUCUCGUGGACGUGGGCUUCAACUUGCCCGAACCACGUAAAUUUGUGUAUUAUCUCCUCUCAUCUCCCUCAUCUUCAUACUGGUGUAUGUGCAUAUAUCAUCUACUUGCCCAAAACCAUAAAAAGCUUUCAUUAGGAUUUGAAUAACAGAGAGAAAACGAAGAAGAAGGAGAACUAAAAAGAAAAGGUUCUAUUAUUCUCCUCCAAGCUUUCUUGAUCAUCCUGCAAAACAUUGAGGCCCAAUUAACCAAAACAUAUAAUUAGGCCUAACAAAUAACUUAGGCUUUUAAAGGGCAUACUUGAGUACAAGGCUAAAUAGGAGUUGUUCUUAACUCAUGCAAUUGUGACAUUUGUGAUUGAUAGCUUAAUUAAGGCCGUUUGUAUUUAUGGGUUGAAACUUGACUUAACUUCUUGUUUGCUAUUAUUGUUUAUCUUCAUUAUUUGCAACAACCUCUGAAUUACCACUUCUUUUAUUGGUUACUAUUUGAGUGACCAUAAAAAAAAUCUUUCAAAUCGGACAAUGAUCCUUAGAUCACAUUCAAUAGUAUAUUCAUUCACACUUUUUAGAAUCACACAAUAGAAAAUCAAUAAAGCUCACACUUCUUAUAAAACAGUUGAGUUAUUUCUCUCGUUCUCAAUCAAUUGAUUUUGAACCCCAUUAAAAAGAAUUUUAAAAUCCAAAUUUUCUAUCGGUCAUUGAACUAUAUUUGAUUUAACUCAUGUAUUUUAGUUUAAAGUUAAGAUAUCUUUGAUCUUUAAACUUUCUUCGAAGUAACAAUUUCGUCCUUAUAAUUUUUUUUCAUUUUUACGUUAAUUUCUCUAAAAGAAAUUAAACAUUUUCCAAAUUAAAAAAAACAAAAUAAAGUAGAUAAUCAAAACAAAAGAAAGCCUUUUUCUUUCUUUCUAGAAGCUAAUUAGCUAAAAAUAAAAAUAAAAAGAAAUAAACAGAAAAUAAAUUAGUAAUAUAAUUAACUAAUAAAUAACCCAUAAGGCUUAUAAAAAAUUUAAAAAACUCAAGUUGAAUAAUUUGAAAUACAUCCAUUAAAAGGGAAAAUAGUCAACAAUGCAAAUUAAUAACUUAUUGGAGAAGUAAUUAUUGUAUGACUAUGAGAAUCGAAAAUAUAUUUGUAGAAGAGAUCAUUUAAAGAAAUAGUUAUGGUUCUUAAAGAUUGGAUGGGUGUGGUUGGCUGUUCAUACUCACCGCCCACCUAAUCAAAUUCAACACAUAUCGCCAAGAAACCAAAGAGAGAGGGAGGCCAUCAACCACGAACUUAAGAGCAUAUCUAUACAGUAUGGAAUAAUCGACCAAGUGUGGGAAUUCAAUUAUGGUGAUUAAUGAUAUCACCCAGAUGGAGACUUCAAAUCUUUCCAUCUCAAUUAUUGUACUAAAACACAAAUAACUCCAAAUAUAAAACUUACAUUCAAAAAAUAAUUAAUUAUACAAUAAUAUUUUUAAAAAAUUGUAAAUAUAACAAAAUCUGUCAAAAUCUAUGCUUAAUUAUUAUUUCUAAAAUUGCUACCAGUUAUAAUUACUCUUAAAAAAAGUGAUAAUGAUAUAAAUAUAACUAUGGAAAAUUGCAUUAGUUAACAAAAAAAUCUAGAAAAAAAAAUACUUCAUAGCAUUUUUAUUAAAAUAUUAUCUCUUUUAAAUUUGUUACUUUUGUAAUUUAUAAAAUGGAGUGAUAUGCGCCUUUUUAUCAUAAUUUUUUUUUAUUGCUAUUUUUGUCAACGUCCCUAUGAUUAAUAUAGAUAAUAAUAAUUAAAAAUGAUCGAAUUUUAAUUAAAUGUGUAAAAUGUAUUUUUUUUUUCCGUUUAAUUAAGUGUGAAUAUAUGGAUAAAAUAGAAAAAGAAGUGUUGUGAUGUAAGUGAGGAAAACGUUAAAAUGAGAGUAGAUAGAAAAGAAAAAGAAAGACCAAAGAAAAGAGAGAGAGAUUUAUAAGUCAAUUAUGUAGAAAAUUAUUAGUCUUUUCUUAAUAAUAUAACAUUUGUGAAUGAAAAGUUUAAAACUUCAAACUUCCACACCAAUAUUAUUUAACAGAUUCACAUAAAUCAAUUAGGCUUUCCAUUUCAUUUAAAAGAAAGAUAGGAUUAUAUACAUCACAUCAAUUCUCAAAUAACUUUAUAAUUAUAUUUUAAAUAAUUAUACGACUUCAUAUCCUCUCUAAAACUAUUUUAAGAAUUUUUCACUAAAAAUAAUAUAAAAAAUUGACAAACUAUUUACUCUACAAAACAAAACUACAUUUUUUACAAUUUUUUUUUUAAAUUUUAAAUAUCAUAUAAUUAUUUUUUUAAAAAUCAAACGUAAAAGACUUUUAAAACCUUAUACCUAUUUUUUAAAACUGAUCAAGUAAAAUGGUACAUUAUGAAAACUCGAGAACCAAAUAAAUCUAUUGUUAUAAAACUUGAUAAAAAUCAUUUUUAAAACUUAAUGACCAAAAGCACAUAUUCAUCAAAACUUGGAGACUAGAAUUGUAGUUUUUCAUAACUUUAGUUAUAGAUAGUGUAACAUAUUUGUACAUUUGAUCAAAUUAUCUAAUCAUAAUUUAUCACGUGAUAAACUUUUUAGGUGAGAUCCUCCCAUUAUUGGUUAAAAAAGUUUAUCAUUUAUCAUUUAAUUAAAAGUUAUUGGCAGGUAGAUAAAGAUUGGUGGGGACUAACCAAUUAUAAACAAAUGGUUAAUCAAUAUAAUGUAUUCUAAGUGAAACGACCUCGUAUAAAUAUCUUGUUUAUAGCGUACGUGUCAAUCACGUGUUUGCUUCAAUUUAGAGAACGUUAUUUAAUGAAUUCAAUAAUAUAUAAUAUAAAGUAAUCUCAAAUAUCUAUGACUUCAAUGUUGGUUUUAUACUAUGUCAACUUUUUAAAUUCAUUAUAAUACUACAAGUUUAAGGAUGAAAUUAAUAAUUUUGUCUUCUAAAUUUUUAUUAUUUUUGAAAUAGAGUUUGACAAUAUUGGUUUGGGAAAAUAGCCAUUAUUUGAAACAAUGGUGUUGUGUUAUACAUACACGUAUAUAAAUGAGAAAUUAUAAAAAAAAAAAAAUAGAAAAUUUGACAAAAUAUCUAUAAGUUAUAGCAAAUUUUCAGAUUCUAUCAAUAACAAAUAUUUGAUAACUAGUAAUAUUUUUCUAUCCGUGGUAUUGAUAGCCAAUGAUUAUUACUAACUAUCAUUGUUAGAAUUAAAAAAUUUUGGUAUAACUUGUAAAUAUUUUAAUUUUUUUUCUAUUUUUAAAACUGUCACUUUAUAUAUAUAUAUAUAUUAGAGAAGAUUUCCACAACAAUACUUGUAAAUUCCUUAAAAGAAAAUUGGAAAACUGCACUUUAAGAUGUAUGGAGGUAUUUUAAAGAGACAUUUAAUUUGUAGAUUUUUUAUUUUGUUUAUUAUAUUUAUUAAACCUAUAAAACUAUUUCUACUCCCACAACUUUCUUCCUUUGUUAUAUCUACUUUUUAUACAUAUCAUGAUCAAAGGGAUAUAUAUAUAUAUACACCAAUAAUGAUCAAAAAGUGUACUAAAUAAAGUUAUCACCUAUAUAUAUAUAUAUACACAUAAUUGUGGUGGGUGUGUUUAUAUAUAUACACAUCAACUAUCAUAAAAACGAUUGUCAUAAAAAAGGCAAUCACUCAUUAUUGUGGUAUAUAUAUAUACCAAUUAUCAUCAAAAUUAAGGCCAAUCACACAUGAGAUUGGGGUCCUUAUUAAAUAAUUUUUUUGUCACACCUUUUCUUAAAUCCUUAGUUUUUUUCAUUUUUUUUUUUACUACAUUCUCAAUCACAAAACUUUUUUCUUUUCAUGAAACACACAACAAAUAAAUACAAUUAACAUGCAUCCUUGGGUUAUAAGUAAAGAAAAUCACACAAGUAAUCACAUACUUUUUUUUUUUUUUACCUAUAUAGUAAAAAGAAAUCAAAUUAGUUUCAUAUUAAAAAAUAAAUCUAGCAUAUGAAAAAUAUCCCUAAGUUUAGAUAGAGAUGGGGCAUUUUUCCUUGAAAGAAACAUGUAAUUGUAAUAUAUAUCUGUUUGAAAUAAAUUUAAAUGAAAAGGUAGAGAUGGGAAAGGGUUUACGAGUUAUUUCUUGGAAAGAGAAGGGUCCCAAGGCCAGCUUGGCUUUCCAUUUCAAACAUAAAUAAAAUAAAAUAAAACCUUAAAAAAAUAAUUAAUAUAAUAAUUUAUUUUUUAAUAUCAUUAUCAUACUAUUGGAUGAUGACACAAUCUUAUCCACAUAAUCAAAUAAAUAAAAACAUGAUUAAAAUACCAUUUGACCAAAUUUAUUUCAUUUUAGCCAUCUUAAAAAUUUAGUCACUUAAUAUUAAAUUUUGUUUUAAUCAACUUAAUAAUAUUAUCUGUAUGCACUAAAAAAUUGUAGUAAAUAAACUGAAAUAUUAAUAAAUAUAAUAAGAUAUAUACUUUUAUUGUGUCUAUUUGUAUUAUGAGAGGUUGAUAUAUAUGAUAGUUUAUGUUAAUAUAUAGUAGUAUAUUAUAGAUAGAUUGUGAUAUUUUACUAUGUUUUUAAAUAUUUUAAAUGAUAUUAUUAAAAAAUUACGAAAUAUGUAAAUGUAUUUUUAAAAUGGAUAAAAAUGAAGGGUGAAGUAAGGUAUAGAAAAUUAAAAUUAGAUAAGCAAAAGUAUAUGUACUAAAAAUGAAAAAGGUUGUAAAAUAUAUAGGAAAGAGUAAGAGGCAAAUGAUUGUUUAAUCAAUUUGUAAAGUUUGAAUCAUUCGUACGUGCAUGUGAAACCCAAAAGGUUCGAGAGACAAAUUUUCUCUCCUUUAUUUUAUCUAUUAUUAUUUUAGUUUGCCAAUAGCUUCAUCUUGAAAUUAGAUAACGAUAUAUAUAUAUAUAUAUAUAUAUUGAGAUUGAUAACUAUAUAGUUAUAGAGAAUGAUUCUCCAAUAAAUAAAUAUAUAUAUAUAUAUAUAUAUAAUUAUUAUUAUUAUUAUUAUAGUUUUCUAAUCUUAAAAAUUGUUUUAUUAGAUUCUAAAAAAGCCAUCGAUGAGGGACCCAAUCCCCACUUGUAAUGAAUUAUGAAUUAGAGUAUUUUCAAGGAAAAUUUUAAAUAUAACAUGUAAUAUAUAAAUUGAAACUAUUUAAAAAUUAUAGAAAAAUUAUUAAAUUAAUUAUAACCUAUUUGAAAUUUUUAUCGUAGUUUUGAUAUUUUUUUGUUAUUUCCUCGUUUAAAAAUAAUCGAUAAUUAUAAUAAGUAGCAACUUUAUCAAUAAUAAUUAAGCAUAUAACAACAUUUUACAAAAUUACAAAUAUAGCAAAGUUUAUAUAUGAUAGACUUCUAUUAUUGAUAGAUUCGAUCUAGUGGUUUAUUAAUGAUAGAUCAAUAUUUGUAACAUGGUAUAUCAACAAUCGACUUUCAUCAAUGAUAGAUUUUGACAGACUUUGUUAUCGUGCAAUUUUUUUAAAUGUGUUUGAAAAUUUUACAAAAUAUUUACAAGUUAUAGCAAAAUUUUGUUGUUGAUAGUUAUUGAUAUGCUACAGUGAUAGAAGUCUAUCACUAAUAUAAUAUAAAAUCUUGCUAUACCUUGUAAAUAUUUUAAUUUAUUUUAUUAUUUUUAAAAAUACUGUACGUUGAUAUACGUUAGUUUAUAUUUUUAAUCUAAUUGGCAUUUAUCCUUAUUAUUUACAAAUACCAUAUAGAAGUUGAGGAAGUAUUAUUCACUUUUCAAUUUAAAAUUAUACCUUUUCUUUGCGAGAUUUUUCCGGGAGAAAUUUGUAUUUAUUUUAAUAUGUUUGAAUCGAUAUAUUGUACAAUGAGUAUAUGAUACCCUGUUUAUUCUAAAAUAUUGGAAAUGUCACUUGUCAACAAUUUUAAAUCCUCUUAUUAUUUUCGAGAAUUUUCAUACAUUAUCUUUUUUUAUACUUUUUUCCCAUUAUUUGUUCAAUUAUAUAGGUUUUUUUUGGAGAAAUAUAUAUUCCUUUCACAUCCAUCAUAUACAAAUGAAUUCUGAUUUUUAUAAAACAAAAGGUCAUAAAAUAUAAACGAUUAUGUAGAGAAAAAUAACCCAUAAAAAUAACGUAAGUUAUAUUAAUUAAAAAAGAAAGUCAAAUUACUAAAAGCAAAUAUAUUUAUACAAAUUAAUGAAAAUUUCUUAGAAAAGACCACCAUAAUUCAAAAUUUAAAAAUAAGUAUAACACAACAAACUAAAAUAUUUAUAAAAAUAUAACAAUUUUUUAUAUCUACUAUAUUGUUAUUAUUAUUAUUUUAAAACUCUUGUAAAAAUAGGAAAAAAAAAUUAACGGUAAUAUGAUUCAUAUCACUACAUUUUAUAAAUUACUAAAACAGCAGAUUUAAAAGCUUAUAAUUCUAUGAUUAUCGUCUAAUAGUUAUCUGAUAUCACUAAUUCUAUCAUAUUUCCGUUAAAAAAGUUGUUUUUUUCCAAAAUGUUUUGUUAUUUGGAUGAAAUUUUCCAUUAUUUUAUUAUCAACAAGCACAUGAGAGAAUGAGAGAAUGUGAAAUGGAGAAAUUGAUUAUAAUUGUUUGUCAGUUAUCGGAAUUUGUAGUCAUUAGCUUUCUUAUUCUAUAAUAUAUAAUCUAUUUCUUCUAAAACCAAAUCCAAUUAAUAUUUCCCAUUCCACACUCUCCUUCUCUUAGUUAUAAAUUCAAUGAUUUAUAGUUUUUCCAUACCUUCCAACUCGGAUGAACAUAUGGGAUUUAACAUUUCAUAUAGUAAAUUGAUUUAUUUAAUAUUUUGUUUAGUAAGUUUUGUUCAAGUUCUUCAACCACCACAUGCACAGAAUGAGGAAAUGAUUACAAAUUUUAAUCAUAAAACCAUACAAUAAAUUAGUUUUAAUAAUUGUAAGGAGAAAUUAGUAUAUAAAUUACAAGUUGGGUAUAAGAAUACAUAAAGAGAAAAAAAAAAGUAGAGAUUGUUAGGUGGAGAGAACAAGUGGUGACUGCUACUGGCGUCCUUCCCAGAAAAAAAAAAAAAACUAUUGCAAGUUGUUGAAUUUUCAACACAAUUCUAAUCUAAUUUUAUCUUUUAUAUAUGUGUGUAUAUAUUUAUGUAUUUAAUACGCAACCCUAUCCUCUUCUUAUGUUGAAUUUAAUUAAUUCAAUCAUGUACAGCCAAGCACGUUAUGCGUCGACUUCCGAGUCAAUUAAAAUAAUCAACAUUUUCUUACAUCAAUUAUUAAAAUCCUCUUUGCUUUUUUCUUUUUUGUAACAUACUUUUAUAUUUAUUUAUUAUGAAAUUCUUUGUUUUGUUUUGACAACCAUAAACAAUAUAAUAUAAAAACGUAAUAGAUGAGAUAUUAAAAACAACAAUUACAAAAAUCUAUGAAUAUAUAACAAUUCAGUCAACUUUUCAAUUCAUGAUGAAAAUAUCCAUCCCUAGUGUCAAUUUCUAAUGGGAAUCUAUUGAACAUAAUUAUGAACCAAUAAACAAACAUUUUAUUACCUUUAAAUUAAUCAAAAUUACUAUUAUAUUAAUAAAAUAGAGAUAUUGACGUUGAAACUACGAAAACAUAGAAAUAUUCAUAUAUUCAUAGAAAUAUUGAGAUGUUAAUGAAAAUUUAAUGUUAUGAAUAAGGUAUCAUAAUUCUUUCUUAGUACUCAGCAAUUACCUCAUUCCAUGUUCGAGACUUCAAUUAUAACAAUAUUUCUUCGUUGCAUUAUUGUUGACUAUUUUCUUUCCAUGUUAAAAGGAUUAAAAUAUUCGGUACUUGUUAUAAUUAACUAAGUUAAUGAAUUUUUUAACAGUAAAUAAAGAAGACAUUGUUUUUGUUUUAACUUCUUCGAAAGAGAUCAAGUCCAACAAUCUAAUUAAUGUUAAUACGAAGAAAUUAGUACUUUAUUGAAUAAGUUUGGCAGAAAGAAGAAAGGUUUUUCUAUUGGCUGCUAAAAUAAGAAUAAAUCAAUUAAAGAGAGAUAGAGAGAGAGAGAAAUUUGGUGUUUUUUUUUCUUUGCAUUUCCUGACAAAUAAAUUGAAAUUUCAAUCUAUAAAUAUGGUAAGAGUUGUUGGUAGUUAAACACCAUCACACAAGAAAGAGUAUUGCAGCAGCAGAGGCCAUGGCGUCUAACAUCAUUGCAAUUGUUUCUGUGAUACCCAAAAUCAAUGAAACGUUUCCUUCUGAUGAUACUCUCUUGCUCUUCUUUGCUAGCUCAGAUUUGGACAGAGGUAAAAAAUAAGAAAAAGAAUGCAAACUUUUUUGUUAAUUUGUGUUGUAUUGUAUAGUAUUGAUCAUAUGUUAAAAUUAAUGGAUUGGUAAUACCGUUCUUGAUCAGAUGGGCAGCAAAAACCAUUGAUCGGAGGUGUGGCAGAAUUAAUCAAGAAUGAAUCUACAGCAGAAAAGUACAAAUACGUUGCUAAAAUUCAAGUUCCAAAAGGUUUUGGAGAGAUUGGAGCUGUGAUUGUUGAAUUGAAAGACGACUCGUCUGAGAAAUUUAUCGAUACUGUUAUUGUUGCAAAUCCAACAUCUCAUAACACAAUUACGUUCAGCUGUACCUCAUGGGUUCAACCCAAAAGUCUCAUUCCUGACCAACGCAGGGUUUUCUUUUCCACGAAGGUUCGUUGGUUCAUAUAUAUAUAUAUAUAUAUUGUUGUGUAAUGAUUAUUACGAGAGAUGAUUCAAAUUAAUGAAUUGUGUUGCUAAUAAUUGAAUAUGGAAUAAUAUGAGCAGUCCUAUUUGCCCGGAGAUACGCCAGCAGGGCUGCUGAAGUUGAGAGCAGAAGAUCUCGAGAAUUUGAGAGGCCAAAAAGAAGAUGGAACAGUGGAUACAAAUGAGCGUAAGGCGUUCGAAAGGAUUUACGAUUACGACGUGUACAAUGACCUCGGAGAUCCCGACGUAGACACCAAAUGGAAAAGACCAGUUCUUGGUGGUUCAGUUCAGUAUCCUUACCCCCGACGUUGUAGAACUGGUCGUCCUGCUACCGUAUCAGGUAUGUAUAUAUACACUUCUCUUGUUUCUAUAUCAUACAUUUUCAUUAUGGAGUUUGCAAAAAUAGCAAAAAAAUUACGAUAACAGAGUCCAUCUCAAUUACUUUUUCAAAAUUGUAAAAAUAACAAAUUUUAAAAGUAGAAUAUCGUCGAUUACUGUCAUAUUUGCCAAAUUUGCAAUAUGAAAAAAAAAAUGUUAUGAGCUAUUUUUUCUAAAAAAAUUUUGUUCCUUUUCGUUAAAGUUUUUCUUUUUCAUGGUUUUUUUUUUACUUAUAUUUUCAAAUUCUCAUAGUUUACGUUUUUAGUUUAUUUUGAUUUUUAUACAUUUUGUCUUAAGUUUUUAAAAUUGGACCAACUUGAUUUCUUAAAAAUAAAAAUAUGAAUGGGAUGAAUCAUUGAAUGAAAGUUGAAAAAUAAAAAAUUUGGUAUUUUUAAAUAUAGCAAAAUAAAUAAAAAUAUUUACAAAAUAUUCCUAUCUAUUACUUACCUACACUAAUAGUAUUUAAAUUAAGAGUAAUUAUAACAAGCAACAACUUUAAAAAUAAUAAUGAAGUAUAUAGUAACAUUUUUUUAAAAAAAUUAUAAAUAUAGUCCACCAAACCAAUAUUAGAGCAACAUAGAGAUUGAUUUUGGUAUGUGGGUAACUUUUUAAAAUUUUGUUGUCCACUUACAUUAUACAUAAAAAUAAAAACUCAAAAAAUAUUUUUAAGAAUAAGAAAAUAAGAGUUGGCAUUUAGUUAAUAAUAUAAAAGAAAAUUAAACAUAUAGUUACUUGAAAUUAAAUAUAAUAAUGUUUUUGGGAAGUAAUUAACAAAUGAUACAAUUGUGGUUAGAUCCAAAGUCAGAGCAAAGAAGUACAGAAAGCUUUUAUGUUCCAAGAGAUGAAGCAUUCUCAGAAGUUAAGCAGAAAAUGUUCCCAUCAAACCCAGGGAAGAAAGAUAAGUUAGGAGCAAAGCCUUUCACCGACUUUACUCAGAUUGACUUAAUGUUCAGAGACGGCAUUGCACCUCCAUCCAAUCCACAUGAAAUUCUUCAAUUUAACAUUAUCUCCACACUUAAUGCAUCAAAUCAACCCGCCCCACCUUCUGUUCAGCCCACUCCUGUUCAACCCGACACCCCUGUAAUCAAAUUCCCACCACCUGAGGCUCUCAAAAGUAAGCACCAUACAUACACACGACAUAAACAAAACUUUUCUUUUCUUUUUCUUUUUUGUAAGCAAUUUUCAGUACAACUUAAUUAAUUCAUUUACAUCACAAUACGUAAUCCUUGUGUUUUUCCAGGAGACAAGUUCAAUUGGCUUAGUGACAGUGAAUUUGCAAGACAAACAAUUGCGGGUCUUAAUCCCUAUUGUAUACAGUUGGUCAAGGUGAGUGACAGACUAACAAUAAUCAAUAAAUAUAUAUCAAACUACCCUUACCCACUAGCUUUAAUUAAAACCAAGUCAAAUAUUAGGGAUUUAAGACAGAUAUUUUUAAUCUGCUCUCUAUAGUAUAUAUGAAAUUAUAGCUUAAUUAUUUUGUAUGAAUAAAUUC